rnacentral:misc_RNA from 1 species
AUUUGCAUUUCUAUCGCUUUCUUGACAGCGAUGAAGCGGUUUUCAAUGGCGCCGGCGCUGCGGGCUGUCGCACCGCCGUCGCCCGGCGCCUUCGCAUGCCUUUCCGUAUCGUGCGGCUGCGCCUCUCACUACCAGAAGCGGUGGGCCGGGACGCAGCGACGCGUCAUCCGGCCCACUGAAGAAAGCGUCGCCGAACUGAUGGAGGAUGCCGAUGAAGAGGGUGCUUGCAUCAGCACUGUCAGUGUCUCGUCCUUCGCCGCCCCCGCGCCGCUUUCGGCCAUCUCAGAGUCCGCGGCGCUCUACCGGAGGGUGGCAGCAGCGGGUUUUGACGGCAAAGCGGCGCAGGCAGCGAAAAGACGCCGCAGCGGCCAUGCCGGUGACGGCGAUGCAAGUGCCACGGAUGAUGCCGCGCCUACAAAAACUACUCACGAUGCAGUCGAGGCAGAGGCGCUCGCGGGGACCUCCGCAGGCGAUGGCGACGACGCUGUCGUCGAGGAGGCGAGAGGGGACGAGACGUACAUCCUUCAGCAGCAGCAGUACUACUACGAGCUUCCCGUGCAGCCGCUUACCGAUAUCGCAACCGCCUACUUGCGCUCUACAGAGAACAUUGUCCUCGUGUCGCCGCAGGAGGAGCACAUCCUGUUUCCUGUUCUUAUGGAGCGCCUGCAGGAGUUCCACGUAUCACAGCUGCUGGACAUUGUCGACAGUCACUGGAGUCGGUCUACCAUGCUUCGCUACGGCACCCAGUACAAGGAUAUGGUGCGUGACCGCAUUGCUCAGCUCGCCACCGCCGCGGCGACGCAGUUGGAGGCGAAGAGGAGGAGGCAGCAGGAGCAGCAGUCGUCUUCCAGCGCGGCAGAGUCGACGUCCGCCGCUGCCGGCGCAUUUGGGGCGACGGGGAGAGGUGAGGGUCACAGUACGAAGGCUAGGGGUGCCAGCGAGGAGUGCGAGGAUGACGGCGCCGUGUUCGUGGCCGAGAAACAGGCAGCCGAUGCGCAGCGCUCUGCUGACGCUAUUCUGGCUCACGCCGAGAAGGAGAUUACGUCCGCGACGGUGUACCGCGCCUUGGUGGUCAUGGGAAUCAGCGCGGGGCACCGUAAGCGCGACUUGGCCUUUUUCCAACUCCUCGGCAACUACUUAACCUUCUUUAUCAACGACUAUCGCGACCCGCAUGAGCUUGUACGCGUACUGACGGCGCUGGCGCGCGCGAAGAUAGUGCCGUCACCGGCGUUCCUCAACAUGAUUGCGCGCCGCAUGCCGGUGCUGCACAAGCGCAUCCCACUGGAGCCGCUGCCGGCCUAUCGCGCUCUCUCCAACUUUGCACGGAUGGGGCACACCUCUAUGAACACGUUCCGCUUCCUCGCGGACUGCAUGUUUGCCCACGUGGAAAAGCACAUCAGCGAGGAGAAGAAGCAGCUCACCACAAUGGCAGCCGCAUCAAAGAAGCCUGCAGCUGCGACAGAGGAGUCCGAUGCGAAGACAGCUCCAUCUACCGCCUCGGGCUCCGCAGCCUGCAUGGAUCGCGCGCAGAGGUGCAGCCAAGAGGUGCUGGAAAAGGAGCGACUGCGUCGCAUGUGCGGGCUGAAGCCGUCUAUGUUCACAAGGUGGCUCGCCAUCCUCGCUCGCUUCAACGCUCCGCAUCAGCAGUACCUGCGCCCUCUCAUCAAGCCGGUCAUCUUGCCGAUGCUACCGUACUUCCCACCACCAAGCUUCACUCGGCUGGUGAGCACGACGCGUGUGUUCAGGUCAACCGAUCGCGCUCUCGUGGACGCGCUGGUGGGGCGGGUGUGCGAUGUGCUCGCGCCAGCCGGCAAGCUGACACGCGUGGAUGCGAUGGAGUUGCUGCGGCUCAUCUCUCAGGAUGACACCCCCGUGCCUACUCAACUGGAUCGCGUCCUCCAGAUAUGCAAGGACUACCUUGGGAGCUCGACAAGCACCUACACGAUGGAAGAGGUGGCUCCGAGCAGCGCCGAGCGGAGCGCAGCUCCGCGGCCACGCGGCACAGUCACGGUUGUGCCGCGUCCGCGAGACAUGUGCAACGUGGUGAAGCUGAUCGGCUGCUUUCAGAAGCGGGAUGAGAUCCCGCUCGAGUCCCUCACCCCGCUGCUGGAGCUGACGGAGGACUUUGCAAAGCGCCUCGCGCAUCUGAUGGAGCUGUGCGUUGUGUCACUGACGCAGGUGGAUGCGUUUCUGGAGCUGUGCGAGCGGCACCAAAUUCCAGAUGUAUCGGGGGCGUUGGAGCAGCUAAUGCGGAAGCGACGGGAUGUGGUGCUGCAAGCCAAGCGCUCUCCAGAAGCGGCGGCGGAGGAUAGGGGCGGCAGAGGCAGCGCCACCGACGAUGAGGAGGCCGAGGAGGCGUACUACGGCCAGCUGGACAUCGACGUGCGCGAGACGUUCAACAAGAUUCUCCUUACAAACGACUGGAAUACCCACUGCCGCUACAGACCACUGCCUGGUCCGCUGCAGGUGGACUUCCGCAACGAGCUCACCAAGGUGUCUGCUCUCGAGCUUCUUCAGGCGGUGGACUUGUUUGCCAAAGCGUGCCCAGGUGCUCUGCAAGACGCGCCACGGCUCUUUCUCAGCCGCAGCCUACUAGAGAAGCUCGGUAAAGAGGGCGAGGUGGUGGUGGAGGAGGCAACGAACAGCCUUGUUAUUCGCCAACCCCGUGCCGAGCUUCUUACUCGCGAGGAUUUACAAACGUUCACGGCGCUGGUGGAGCGGACACCGCUGGAGGCAGUGCGCACCUCUCCGGUUGUGUGGGUGUUCAUCAAAGAGAAGGCCGAAAGACUCGGCUUGACUUCCGUCGAGGCAACGGCCACGGCGCGCCUCACCGAACUGCAUGGCAUGGCGCGGAGAGCGUAUGCCUAGCGAGCGAUCCUGUGCUGGCGAAGAUAUCGUCGCCGGCUCGAGGUCCACUUGGCGUGUUGGCAUCGUGGUGUGCUUGGUGUGUUUGUUCGGCUGUUC